GCGCCCAUCGUCCAGCCCGGUCCAGGACGUCAGCCUUUCAAGCUGAAAACACGGGUUCGAAUCCCGUUGGGCGUA
rnacentral:tRNA from 1 species